rnacentral:rRNA from 1 species
UACGUAGGGUGCAAGCGUUGUCCGGAAUUAUUGGGCGUAAAGAGCUCGUAGGUGGCCUGUCGCGUCGGCUGUGAAAACUCGGGGCUCAACCCCGGGUCUGCAUUCGAUACGGGCAGGCUAGAGUGUGGUAGGGGAGAUCGGAAUUCCUGGUGUAGCGGUGAAAUGCGCAGAUAUCAGGAGGAACACCGGUGGCGAAGGCGGAUCUCUGGGCCAUUACUGACGCUGAGGAGCGAAAGCGUGGGGAGCGAACAGG